rnacentral:SRP_RNA from 1 species
GCUGGGCAUGGUGGUGCACGCCUGUAGUCCCAGCUACUUGGGAGGCUGAGAUGGGAGGAUUGCUUGAGCCUGGGAAAUCAAGGCUGCAGUGAGUUGAGAUCACGCCACUGCACUCCGGCCUGGGUGACAGAGUGAGACUCUGUCUCUA